UAUGAAGAACGCAGCGAAAUGCGAUAAGUAAUGUGAAUUGCAGAAUUCAGUGAAUCAUCGAAUCUUUGAACGCACAUUGCGCCCCCUGGUAUUCCGGGGGGCAUGCCUGUUCGAGCGUCAUUUCACCACUCAAGCCUCGCUUGGUAUUGGGCAACGCGGUCCGCCGCGUGCCUCAAAUCGACCGGCUGGGUCUUCUGUCCCCUAAGCGUUGUGGAAACUAUUCGCUAAAGGGUGUUCGGGAGGCUACGCCGUAAAACAACCCCAUUUCUAAGGUUGACCUCGGAUCAGGUAGGGAUACCCGCUGAACUUAAGCAUAUCAAUAAGCGGAGGA
rnacentral:misc_RNA from 1 species